UACGAAGGGUGCAACCGUUGCUCGGAAUCAUUGGGCGUAAAGCGCACGUAGGCGGCUUUCUAAGUCGGAUGUGAAAUCCCUCGGCUCAACCGGGGAACUGCGUCUGAUACUGGAUGGCUUGAGUUUGGGAGAGGGACGCGGAAUUCCAGGUGUAGCGGUGAAAUGCGUAGAUAUCUGGAGGAACACCGGUGGCGAAGGCGGCGUCCUGGACCAACACUGACACUGAGGAGCGAAAGCCAGGGGAGCAAACGGG
rnacentral:rRNA from 1 species